rnacentral:rRNA from 1 species
AUUGAACGCUGGCGGAAUGCAUUACACAUGCAAGUCGAACGGCAGCACGGACUUCGGUCUGGUGGCGAGUGGCGAACGGGUGAGUAAUACAUCGGAACGUGCCCAGUCGUGGGGGAUAACGUAGCGAAAGCUACGCUAAUACCGCAUACGAUCUACGGAUGAAAGGGGGGGAUCGCAAGACCGCGCGGGAUUGGAGCGGCCGAUGGCCGAUUAGGUUGUUGGUAGGGUAAAGGCCUACCAAGCCGACGAGCUGUAGCUGGUCUGAGAGGAUGAGCAGCCACACUGGGACGGAGACACGGCCCAGACUCCUACGGGAGGCAGCAGUGGGGAAUUUUGGACAAUGGGCGCAAGCCUGAUCCAGCCAUUCCGCGUGCAGGAUGAAGGCCUUCGGGUUGUAAACUGCUUUUGUACAGAACGAAAAGGCUCUGGUUAAUACCUGGGGCUCAUGACGGUACUGUAAGAAUAAGCACCGGCUAACUACGUGCCAGCCGCCGCCGUAA